CAACCCUCAAGCGCUGUAGUGCUUGGUGUUGGGGUAUCUGCUGCUUGUAGCAGGCCCUGAAAGAUAGUGGCGAGGUCGCUGUGACCCUGAGCGUAGUAAUUUACACCUCGCUUCUGUGGUUCGCAGCGGGUUCUCAGCCGUGAAACCCCCAAAUUUUCACAA
rnacentral:misc_RNA from 1 species